rnacentral:rRNA from 1 species
UACGUAGGGUGCAAGCGUUGUCCAGAAUUAUUGGGCGUAAAGAGCUCGUAGGCGGUCUGUCGCGUCGGCUGUGAAAACUCGGGGCUCAACCCCGAGCCUGCAGUCGAUACGGGCAGACUAGAGUGCUGUAGGGGAGACUGGAAUCCUGGUGUAGCGGUGAAAUGCGCAGAUAUCAGGAGGAACACCGGUGGCGAAGGCGGGUCUCUGGGCAAUGAACUG